CCUUUCUCUAUUGUUUUCUGUCUGACCUAAAAAGUUAAAAAAAACCACUGUUUUCUUUUUGUUUCUUCAUAAUAUUCUUGUUUUUAUUUUUCUUUUUCUUCUUUGCUCAGAAUACAAAGAAUUUCUCUGUAAGAUCGAACUUGAAAAAAAACACAGGAGAAAUUCCAUUUACGAAAGCAGGAACUCAGCGAAGGUUUUGCAAAUUUGAAAUAAGUUUCUUAAAUUGCAAUCAUCAUGAGAUUUAAGAAGGGUAGCAAGGUUGAAGUACUAAGUAAAGAGGAAGUUCCCUCAGGCGCCUGGCGUUGCGCUGAAAUACUUUGGGGAAAUGGCCACAAUUAUGAUGUUAAGUAUGACUGGUCUCCAGGAAGCACUGGCAGUCCAUUGAUGGGGAGAGUUUCUAGGAAGCAUAUCAGGCCUUGCCCUCCAUCUGUGGGAGAUUCAGUGGAUUGGCUUCCCGGUGACCUUGUAGAGGUGUUGGACAACAUAUCUUGGAAGAUUGCUACAGUUUUGAAGGUUAUGAAUGGAGAUUACUUUUUGGUCAGACUUCUUGAGUCCUCUCAGGAAUUGAGUGUUCAGAAAUCUUUUCUUCGAGUGCGGCAAUCCUGGCAGCAUGAUAGAUGGGUUAUUGUUGGAAAUGGUUCUGUGAUUACCGAAGAUGGAAAGCCUAAUAAUGUUUCAACUGCGAGGUUCUACCAGACAAGCUGCCAAAUUCCAGGGGCAGUUCGAAAGGUGAAGGUGAAGCAAUGUGUAGGAGAUAACAAUCUGGUAGGCUGUCAGGAGUCCAAUGUGAUUUCAUCAGGAGCUUUGAAGAGAGAGUCACCGUAUGCCACGUCUCAGGUUGAGGGAAACACUGAAGCUGGUCGGAAAUACAGAGCAGUUGGUACGGAUGGUAGGCGUCAAAGAGUGGUUUCUGAACGUCCUUCAUUCCAGGAAAAGGUAGUUGCUGCUGCUUUCCCACAAUAUUUGUUGGGUGAAAAACACAUGCAUGCUUCCUUUACAAACAAAUCUAGAUUUUGUGAAAUGAAUGUGGGGAGAACACAGCAAAACGGAGAUAUUGGGAAUUUCUCUGAGACAGGGUUAGAAAGUAAUGAUGCCGACGAUGGUGAUUGCUCCUCUGUUGGUAGCUGUGGUAGUACUGGCGAUAGUCCCUCUAAAUUUCCGUUUCAUUCUUUAACCAGCCAUACUAAAGAUUCUGAUAGUUCUUUCAGUGAUGCUGAAUCCUUUUGUGGUUGGGGAUAUGAGAAAGAAGAUUCCCAUCCUUCAAAAGAGGAAUUGGCAGCAGAGAUUCAUAGAUUAGAACUGCACGCUUAUCGUUGCACCAUGGAGGCCUUAUAUGCCUCUGGACCUUUAAGUUGGGAGCAGGAAGAACUAGUGACCAAUCUUCGUCUUACUCUCAACAUUUCUAAUGAUGAGCAUUUAAUGGAGCUAAAGAAUUUAGUUUCAGCUUAAUCUUGCAUUCGAAUUAGUUGACAGGGCCAAAGUUGGAGGCUUGCUUCCAAAGGUCUACAGGUGUUGGUUGGGUUUGUCACCUCUGUAGGGCACAAUCUGCAACCAAUUCGCUACAAAUAGUUAGGCUCGCACGCUAUUGGUAUCAUUAACUUCUGGUGUUUUCUUGUAUUGAAGCUUAACUUUGUGAUAUUUCCUGUGCCGUUUUGAAGGAAGCACAGGAAUUCUAGAAAGCCUGCUUGGUUGGAUGCUUGGGAGCAAUGCCUAAAGAAACGUUUUGGGAGGCUUUUUUUCUUUUUCAAAUCUCCACUCGUUUGUUGCAUUAUUUUACGUUUUUAUUUUUUAUUUUCCCUUAUGAUAAGUAGUACUUUUCACUUUUCUGGCAGCAAUCAGUAUAUUGCCUGGCUUUUUCAUCACCUCAGGCAGUGAUACGGUAAGCUAUUCUUCCCACUUUUUUACAUGCUCCGAGUAAGUACCACUUUACGAUGGUGCUGUACCAGAAACAUAUUUGGAAGUACGGACAAGAGGGAAUAUAGACUUUGCAUACAGCUAGGAGAUAUUUGAAUUUUAAUGCCACUAGUUCUUAUUUAUUGGUAGUUUCCUUUUUAUCUUAUAGUAGGAUCAGGUUAUUUGUCAACAGCAAAGCUGAUUUAGUUGUAUCACUGGCUGAGUUUUAUUUUGGCAAUGUGAAUGUUUUUGCUACUUAUGUCCAAUGGCAUCUAGAAUAUGAAGUUUUGGGUUUAUAACUUGGUUUAGCUUUUGAUGUUUAUGUCACAUGAUUAUUUUUCAAGGAAUAGUAAAUUAAAACCACUUGUACUUGUGGCAUUUUGAUGUAUAAAUCAUUAUUUUACUAGGUAUUGUGCAUUGCAGUGAUGCAGUCUCCAUUUUGUUGAGUCACCUGCACUUGCUUCAACGAGUGGUUUCAGAACGUCGUUUGUUCCAGGAAAAGGUAGCUGCUGCUGCUUUCCCACGGAACUUGUUGGAUGAGAAACACAUGCAUGUUUCCUUUAGAAACAGUUUUAGAUUUUCUGAAAUGAAUGUGUGGAGAGCACAACAAAAUGGAGAUAUUGGGAAUUUCUCUGAGACAGGGUUAGAACGUAAUAAUGCUGAUGAUAGUAAUUGCUCCUCUGUUGGUAGUUGUGGCGACAGUCCCUCAAGAUUGCCAUUUCGUUCUUUAACCAGCCCUAGUAAAGAUUCUGGUUAUUCUUUUAGUGAUGCUGAAUCCUUUUGUGGUUGGGAAUCUGAGAAAGAAGAUUCCCAUCCUACAAAAGAGGGCAGCAGAGAUUCCUAGGUUAUAACUGCAUGCUUAUCGUUGCACCAUGGAGGCCUUAUAUGCCUCUGGACUCUUAAGUUGGGAGUAGGAAGAACUAGUGACCAAUCUUCGUCUUACUCUCAACUUUUAAAUGAUGAGCAUUUGACGGAGAUAAUGACUUUAGUUUCAGCUUAGUUUUGCAUUCGAAAAUGAUGAGCAUUUGAUGAUGGAGAUAAUGACUUUAGUUUCAGCUUAAUCUUGCAUUCGAAUUAGUUGGCAGGUAAACAUAUGCUGGUUACAACUUUAUUUUUGUACUUCUUUCUUUUCCUUUUUGUUACAGUAGGUCAUUUUCCUUUAUUGCAGAAUGUUUUAUAGAUAUUGUUGCGCCUAAAACUUGUAGUGAUUUGCAGAAAGAAUUAAUGUGAACUGUAAUUGAUCUAAUUAUAAAACUAUGUAAAAGCAAUUAAGUGUUGCAAUCUCGACAUUGUCUAAUUCAACUUUUUAAUUUUAUUUAUUUGGAAUGCUGAAGUAUUUUUCACCCAGGAUUGUAAAUUCCUCUUAAGCAAGUGCGCUAAUGGUACCAUUUUACUUUAAUUGUUAGAUGCCAACUUGGGAUUGCUUAUAUUAGCCGCUGCUGUUCAUGUUAAUAGCAAAGUAACACUUGUCAAUAGCACAGCUGAUUUAGUUGUAUCAUGGCCAAGUGAAUGUUUUUGCUUCUGAUUUAGCCUGCAGCAUAAUUUAAUGAAGGAUAAAUAUAUCUCUUCCCUUUAAAUUCCCGUCUUUCAUCAGUAGGUUACUUCGGCAGUAACUUGGUGUUCUUAUACAUGUAGGCUGAACUGAAUCAUUAUGUCCAAUGGCAUUUAGCAUAUGAAGUUUUGGGUUUAUGACUUGAUUUGGGUUUUGAUGUUUUUAUCACAUGUGAUUUUGUUUAGGAAUACUAACUUGUUUGGACAAUAAUAAAAUGAAAAUUAUUAAUGGCAGUAAUAAAAUGAAUAUUUUUUGGCACAGACGUGUAUAUCUACUUGAAAUUAUAACAUUACUAGGUAUCGUGUAAUGCAGUGAUGCCAGCCUCCAUUUUGUGGAGUCACCUGCACUUGCGUCCCCUGGGGUUAUCGACAUGAUGGCAUAGGAAAAGACAAUCUUCCAGUUUGUUGUUUCCCUUCCCUUGAACUUUUUGUCUGGCUGGUCUUUUUAUCUAUUAUUUCGUUGCAGUUUUUUGAAUUGAACCUUCUUAUCUAGCAUGCGUGGACACAACAUAUGAUGUAAAUUACUUCAUCGCUGGUGCACCACAAUUUGUUGAAAAUAACGAAAAUGGUUGGUCGUGCCAUCUAAAAGGUAAGUGCUACAGAAGGAGACUCACUAGAAAUUAUGGUGCAUAAUAUUGUUGUUAACUUGGUAUGUCAAGAGAUAUGCACAAAGUAUGCCAUCGUUCAUAUGCACAAAGCCACUGCAACUUGUUUCAUUAUAAGGUAUAGUUAUGUUGAUUGGGUUAGUUAUGAUCUUACUGCUGUUGAGGAAUAUAGUUAUGUUGAUUGGGUUGACAACCAGAUAACAAAGGAUCUCUAGCAGGCAGGUGACUUUUUGGUCUGCAGAGGUCUCCAGCAGGGUAUAGCAGGGAUUUUACAGAAAGCUGAAUACAGAGGUCUUGGCCAACUCUGCAGCAUAUAUCUAGACUGUUCAACUUACUGUUCAACUCUGCAGCAUAUUCUAAACCGACUCUGCUCAGCACGAGGAAGGGGGCGAAUUUCUUUUAGACCGAAGUUUUUUUAUUUUCCGGUCUCUUUAAGAAAAGAGGGUCUGCACUGAUCUUGUCCCGCACAGGGGAAGGCGUCUAAAUCAACACUCAGAAGCAGAUGGAAACAUUUCGUAGCUGUCAGAUGGGAUAUUUUCGCGAAGCUACAUAUACUGUUAAUAAUGUUGCAGUGGAGUAGGGAUGAGUUAUACCGACUUCAUAAUGCAUCAUAGGCCAUAGGGGAAAGGAGACUAAAUGAGUUUAUUUGACUUCCCAUAUGAUUCACAAUCGGAUAACCCAUAGUCUCAGGACAACUAGUGUAUGGUGGUAUCCAGCCACACCAGAGAGAUGACCAAUGAACAGUUGAAAAAGAGACUAGGAGAGCAACAUUCAACUAGGCAGCUGCCUAAGCUAAUGUAUUUGGGGCCAACCAGUAAUCUAAUCUGGUAUCAUCUAGGCCCUUACGCAUCAGU